rnacentral:rRNA from 1 species
UGGGGAAUAUUGGACAAUGGGCGAAAGCCUGAUCCAACAAUGCCGCGUGAGUGAUGAAGGCCUUAGGGUUGUAAAGCUCUUUUACCCGGGAUGAUAAUGACAGUACCGGGAGAAUAAGCCCCGGCUAACUCCGUGCCAGCAGCCGCGGUAAUACGGAGGGGGCUAGCGUUGUUCGGAAUUACUGGGCGUAAAGCGCGCGUAGGCGGCUUUGUAAGUUAGAGGUGAAAGCCCGGAGCUCAACUUCGGAAUUGCCUUUAAGACUGCAUCGCUUGAAUCAUGGAGAGGUCAGUGGAAUUCCGAGUGUAGAGGUGAAAUUCGUAGAUAUUCGGAAGAACACCAGUGGCGAAAGCGGCUCACUGGACCAUUACUGACGCUGAGGCACGAAAGCUAGGGGAGCAAAC